ACCAAUCUUUCGUAUAUACAUUCAGAAAAUUAAAGACUUAGAUGAUUACCCAUCUAACAAUGUUUUAUUAUUAUACAUAUCUUCACAGUGCCGAAAGCUGCAGAUGCUGACGAUAGUGAAAAAACAACUUCUUUAAUGGUAUUAUGACCUGAACGUUAUUGGUCAUUUGAUAACUUAAAGAGAUUAUUACGACUUUAUAAGUAAAACAAACCUUAGGAAAACGCAAGAAACACUGUAAGUUACCGGUGAUUAAUUAUUCAAAAUGAAGAAAAACAAAUAUAAAAAUGUACAAAGAUAUUCCACUUUGAUACACCAUGUCGUUCCACCGGAACACCAUCAACAAAACACACCAAGUAGUUUUACAAUUUUCAACCCUUAAGCUUAAUCAUUAUACAUCAAUGUACAAAAUGUCAAUGAAAUACAUUCCAUGUUUUAACCGGAUAUAUUGUGUGUACUACUGAAUAUUACAGAAAUAUUGAACAUUUUAAAGAUUCACAAUUCACA
rnacentral:lncRNA from 1 species